rnacentral:lncRNA from 13 species
AUCGUAUCCUCCUUGCAGCUGCAAAAACCCCAGCCUUAUGAUUCACUAUGCACAUUUUCUAGGGGAGUUUCUCUAACACGUUCAAAAGUGAAUACUGAAACAAUAUUUCUAUCAGAGAGAUUAGCUAUAGAAAAUGAAUGUCAUAUUGGAUUUUACUAGAAAGGUGCUCACUCUACAGGUAGGAAGUCUCUAGCCUUUACAUUGUAUAUGAAAUAUGUUUUUUAAAGAUAUGGCGAUUUUUGGUGGGAAAAGCCUGUUAACAAAGACAUUCCUUUAGUUCAUACUGGAGGGGGAGAAAGAACCCACUUCUGCUGUAAAUUGAUCUGAUCCUCACAGGACAUUCAUGACACCGCUACAAGGCGGUUGGGGUUUGCAGCGUUUUCUUGUCACUAACUUAGUCCCCCUCUCUACACUGGCAGCUGUGAGAACCCCGGUGAUCCAUACCGUGUGGUCUUCCAUCCGGUGGUAGCUGACGCCAGGGUCCACUUCCCCCCUCACGUCAAACGCUUUGAGGUCUAUAUGUUUUCCUUCACCGAGGAUGCGGGUGAGCCGAGUGGCCAGGUCUUUGUCCAUUGUGAUGUGGUCAUCUGUGAUGCCAGUAGUCCCUCUGGCGGCCCCUGUAGUGGACAAUGUGUGAAUCAGGACAACCCGAAAAGAGGACAACGACAUGUCAAAGACCUCUUUGAGGAGCGUCAUUUAUAUGUUUCUUCUGGAUACAUUCUUUGGGUGUAAUGUCUCUAACAUGUCAAAUAAAGUGUUCUAUAUAAAACAAUCCUAACCGUUGGACUACCUUAAUUGUAUCUGAUUUGCAUUUAAUACCAAGGCGCAUGUAGUAGGCUUGUCAUCUGACGUGUAUCAAUCAACCCUUUUGUAAGCAUGGAACUCUGAACCAUCCACCGGAGGGAGAUAAGUGUUGCACACCAAUUUCCCGUCUAGGACAAACAAUGGGUGUCAAAACAAAAGCUUUCCAAUGUCCAGUAGGAUGAACUGACUCAAUGUUAUAGCAGAUGGUGUUUUGCCAAAGUGAGGCCAGCAGGGCUGUGGUUGGCUGCAGUGUUGGUAAUGUUCAACUGAAAUUACAACUUUCCUUGAUACCUCUCACUAGCUUGGUUUCCAUCCAAAUAUGGACAUUUCUUCUUUAAUGAUAUGCAUGUCAAUCGCUCAUGGCUCAAAUGGGAAGAGCUUGACUUCAUCACUACUUGUUUGUAAGAAGUGUUGACAAGCUGACUGUACCGAGCUGUCUUUUUUAAACUACUAGCACACAGCUCGGACACCCAUGCCUUGCAUUCCCCACAAGACAUCUCUUCACAAUCUCCAAGUCCGAACUACGGAAGGUACAGAGCCAUGAAUACGUUGCAAUCUAUUCUGCAUCAGGAUAAGC